rnacentral:misc_RNA from 1 species
UUUGCCUUGUCAAAUUGGCCCAAUUUGUAUCUACAGAGACCUAUUCCAAGCCUUACUGCAGCAGGACAGUCAGGAUACACUUGCAAGGCCCUCUUAUAUAGCUCCAGUGAAUCAGAAUAUCGUCCACGGCUAAACUGAACACAGGCCUGACCCAGGAGAGCAGGAACAUUAUCACGAUCUCCAUCAAGUACAAUCUUGAAAGCAGCAAAUGCCUGUUCUAUAUCGCCCUUGGCAAGUAAAAGCUGACCUUUCCCAACCCACGUGGAGGGCUCGUGCAUGUCAAUUCUGGAUGCUUUAUUAUAAUAUUGAGUUGCCAUUAUAAAGUGCUCUUCCUUUUCUCUUUGUUUUGUCUCAAUCUUCCCAAGAUAACUGUAAUAUGCACCUAAUGCAUUUAGAAUGGCAAUCCUCUCAUACCUCACAUCUGCAUAAUAUUCAUCAAUCUCUGGGCUAGACCCUUCUUCCAAGAUUUGCCGAA